GAAAGGCUAUUUAAGUUUCAGAUGUAUUGGUUCAAUGUUCAGAACUUCUUAAAAGGAGGCGAAGUCAAAGGUAGCAUUCAAUUCAGUUCUACACAGAGAGCUAGCCUGUUAGGAAGGUUUUGCUGAUCUUGGAAGAAGGUUGGUCUCAGAGGACAAUAUCAAAAGAGAAGACUCUAGCGCAGAAUAUGAAGUGCUGUGUUUUCUUCAUGAUAAAUUGGGCCUUAGUGGCGUCGUUCCCUCUCGAUAAACACGCUCAGGAUGAAGAUCAAGGCAAAGACAAAGGUCCUGGUUGGUGCAC